rnacentral:rRNA from 1 species
AGUGAACGCUGGCGGCAGGCCUAACACAUGCAAGUCGAACGGCAGCACAGUAAGAGCUUGCUCUUACGGGUGGCGAGUGGCGGACGGGUGAGGAAUACAUCGGAAUCUUCUUUUUCGUGGGGGAUAACGGAGGGAAACUUACGCUAAUACAGCAUACGACCUACGGGUGAAAGCAGGGGAUCUUCGGACCUUGCGCGAUUGAAUGAGCCGAUGUCGGAUUAGCUAGUUGGCGGGGUAAAGGCCCACCAAGGCGACGAUCCGUAGCUGGUCUGAGAGGAUGAUCGGCCACACUGGAACUGAGACACGGUCCAGACUCCUACGGGAGGCAGCAGUGGGGAAUAUUGGACAAUGGGCGCAAGCCUGAUCCAGCCAUACCGCGUGGGUGAAGAAGGCCUUCGGGUUGUAAAGCCCUUUUGUUGGGAAAGAACAGCAGCAGGUUAAUACCCCGCUGUUCUGACGGUACCCAAAGAAUAAGCACCGGCUAACUACGUG